GACGAACCGUCCAAACGUUAUUCGGAAUCACUGGGCUUACAGAGUUCGUAGGCGGUCUGGAAAGUUGGGUGUGAAAUCCCUCGGCCUAACCGAGGAACUGCGCUUGAAACUACCAGACUCGAGGGGGAUAGAGGAAAGCGGAACUGAUGGUGGAGCGGUGAAAUGCGUUGAUAUCAUCAGGAACACCGGUGGCGAAGGCGGCUUUCUGGGUCUUACCUGACGCUGAGGCACGAAGGCCAGGGGAGCAAACGGG
rnacentral:rRNA from 1 species